rnacentral:lncRNA from 1 species
UAUAAUAGUGUGCUCUUGAAAAUAAUUUUGUAGUUUCCGUGAAGUGAGCAAGAUUGCGUAAAGCAGCUUCUGUAUUGGCGGGUACCGGGUCUUGGAGUUGGAGAGUACUUCGCUGACGAAGUAUACGGGUCUCUGGAUUUUAUAAACGUGGCCUAGUUCAGACCGUUAGACUACUACUGCGGUGCUGAUGAUGUGAGUAAUAGCCGCUAUGUAUAGGAGCAAGUCCUCGUUUGGAGAUGGAGCAGUGAGGAUUGGUGGUUUUGACAGAAAGUCUUUGAGUUGUGUCAAUGCUUUGUCUGCCUCUUCUGUCCAUUUAAACUUGUCUUGUCAUUUGAGAAGCUUGAAGAAGGGUAGUCCC